AUAGCUCAGUUGGUAGAGCCCCCGGCUCAUAACCGGUAGGUCACAGGUUCGAAUCCUGUUGGGCCCA
rnacentral:tRNA from 1 species